GGGUGACUAGCUCAAUGGUAGAGCAUCGGACUCUUAAUCCGUUGGUUCAGGGUUCGAGCCCCUGGUUACCCA
rfam:Crinalium epipsammum PCC 9333, complete genome.